GCUGUAAGAACUAAGAAGUGACAUGUUUAUUUUUGAAAAACCUGUAAUGAUUGUGUUUGUUUUCUCUUAAUAAAUUCUCUUAAUGGGAAAUAAAUUAAUACAAUUAGUUCUUAUAUUUCCUAGUAAACUUCCAAUCAUAAGAAUGGAUGAGGACAAAUAGCUAUGAAACUUUCCAUCACACUAGACCUUCCCUUCCCUGACUAUUGCCUGCUAGACAGUACUGAGCAAAUUGAACAAUUGUGGGGAUUCAACAAUGAAGACAUGAAAUGGUAAUAGUGGGACAAGCUUCCUGUGUAUCAAAUUAAGAGUUAAUUAAAAAUUCAUAGAAGGCAUUAAUAUUAAUUUCAUGUUAUCACUCUUUUGCAUUAUAUAAAUUAGGUAGAAGGUUUUCUAUUUAUAAUUUCAUUGGAUAUAAUAAUAAUAUAAAUUUUGACUAAUUAAAUGCAUUCUAAUAUUGA